rnacentral:rRNA from 1 species
UACGUAGGGGGCUAGCGUUGUCCGGAAUCAUUGGGCGUAAAGCGCGUGUAGGCGGUCCGGUAAGUCCGCUGUGAAAGUCGAGGGCUCAACCCUCGAAUGCCGGUGGAUACUGUCGGGCUAGAGUGCGGAAGAGGCGAGUGGAAUUCCUGGUGUAGCGGUGAAAUGCGUAGAUAUCUGGAGGAACACCGGUGGCGAAGGCGGCAUCCUGGACCGAUAUUGACGCUGAUGCGCGAAAGCCAGGGGAGCAAACGGG